UACGAAGGGGGCUAGCGUUAAUCGGAAUUACUGGGCGUAAAGCGCGCGUAGGUGGUUUGUUAAGUUGGAUGUGAAAUCCCCGGGCUCAACCCUGGGAACUGCAUUCAAAACUGACAAGCUAGAGUAUGGUAGAGGGUGGUGGAAUUUCCUGUGUAGCGGUGAAAUGCGUAGAUAUAGGAAGGAACACCAGUGGCGAAGGCGACUACCUGGACUGAUACUGACACUGGAGGUGCGAAGGCAGCUGGGGAGUCGAAACAACGAUUGA
rnacentral:rRNA from 1 species